rnacentral:rRNA from 1 species
UAGCCCUGUCCAAACACCCCAAAGACAUCAGAUCCCAUCUGAUCUUAGAAGCUAAGCAGGGUCAACUAUACUUAGUACUUAGAUGGGAGACUGACAAUGAAUACCUAGUACUGUGUAGG